rnacentral:rRNA from 1 species
UACGUAGGGUGCGAGCGUUAAUCGGAAUUACUGGGCGUAAAGCGUGCGCAGGCGGUUUUGUAAGCCAGAUGUGAAAUCCCCGGGCUUAACCUGGGAAUGGCAUUUGGGACUGCAAGGCUGGAGUGUGGCAGAGGAGACUGGAAUUCCUGGUGUAGCAGUGAAAUGCGUAGAUAUCAGGAGGAAUACCGAUGGCGAAGGCAGGUCUCUGGGCUGACACUGGCGCUCAUGCACGAAAGCGUGGGGAGCAAACAGG